rnacentral:rRNA from 1 species
UCUCCGAAGUUAAGCAACAUUGGGCGCGGUCAGUACUUGGGUGGGUGACUACCUGGGAACACCGCGUGCCGUU